UUAAUAUGGUGUGUUUAACAUCGGUAUGGUUUGAAGAGUUGGUAGGCUGCCUGGUGCUACUGUUCUUUCUAAAUCUGCAAUGGGUCAACGUGAUAUUUUAAGGCUAACUAUAGUUUAAGUGCGCUGCCGUGGACCUUCAAUGGGCGCGGCAUGCAUCAGGUUUCAACGCGAGUGAUUAGAUCAGUCGGUCACAUCCAAGUCCUGCGGGAGGCUUGCCUUCAUGUAGGAGAGAGUCACAGACUGUUAAGGUUUCUUGCCGACUAUCUACCUAAGUGGACUACCCGCGGCCCAGGAUGAAUGUUUUUUUUGUGGAAAACCUUACGAAGGACGAGGAACGCCCGCAUUAUGUUUAUUUGGACACGAGAGGAGGAAGGCUCAUACCAACGCAGGACACGAGAGGAGGAAGGCUCGUACCAACGCAGGACACGAGAGGAGGAAGGCUCGUACCAACGCAGGACACGAGAGGAGGAAGGCUGUAUCUGCGGAAACUUUUCGGGUUCGUUUCGAACGUGAUUAUGGAUUCGCCACCAGCCCAGAGUUAUUCAGCUUCGUGAAACGGUUGCCCAACAUGAGAGCUGCCGAAGAUGAAAAGUCAUGUUGUAGUUCCUUAGCAAAUAAAAGUAUUUGAAGAUUUUGUUAUUAGUA